ensembl:misc_RNA Metazoa_SRP Metazoan signal recognition particle RNA
GCCGGGCGCGGUGGCGCAUACCUGUAGUCCCAGCUACUCGGGAGGCUGAGACAGGAGGAUCGCUUGAGUCCAGGAGUUCUGGGCUGUAGUGCGCUAUGCCGAUCGGGUGUCCGCACUAAGUUCGGCAUCAAUAUGAUGACCUCCCGGGAGCGGGGGGCCACCAGGUUGCCUAAGGAGGGGUGAACCGGCCCAGGUCGGAAAACACCGCCAUGUUAAGCAAACUCACACCACUCCAUUCACCACUGAGCAAGUCUUCUUCAGAGAGAACGCCAGCAUUCC